rnacentral:rRNA from 1 species
AUUGAACGCUGGCGGCAGGCUUAACUCAUGCAAGUCGAACGAGUGGCGGACGGGUGAGUAAUGCUUGGGAAUCUAGCUUAUGGAGGGGGAUAACUACGGGAAACUGUAGCUAAUACCGCGUACCAUAGGAUGAGCCCAAGUGGGAUUAGGUAGUUGGUGAGGUAACGGCUCACCAAGCAGACGAUCGCUAGCUGGUCUGAGAGGAUGACCAGCCACACUGUGACUGAGACACGGCCCAGACUCCAACGAGAGGCAGCAGUGGGGAAUAUUGCGCAAUGGGGGCAACCCUGACGCAGCCAUGCCGCGUGAAUGAAGAAGGCCUUCGGGUUGUAAAGUUCUUUCAGCGGGGAGGCGUUACCCGCAGAAGAAGCACCGGCUAACUCCGUGCAAGCAGCCGCGGUAAUUC